UCCACAGAACUUUCCAGAGAUGGAUUGGUGCCUUCGGGAACUGUGAGACAGGUGCUGCAUGGCUGUCGUCAGCUCGUGUUGUGAAAUGUUGGGUUAAGUCCCGCAACGAGCGCAACCCUUAUCCUUUGUUGCCAGCGGUCCGGCCGGGAACUCAAAGGAGACUGCCAGUGAUAAACUGGAGGAAGGUGGGGAUGACGUCAAGUCAUCAUGGCCCUUACGACCAGGGCUACACACGUGCUACAAUGGCGCAUACAAAGAGAAGCGACCUCGCGAGAGCAAGCGGACCUCAUAAAGUGCGUCGUAGUCCGGAUUGGAGUCUGCAACUCGACUCCAUGAAGUCGGAAUCGCUAGUAAUCGUGGAUCAGAAUGCCACGGUGAAUACGUUCCCGGGCCUUGUACACACCGCCCGUCACACCAUGGGAGUGGGUUGCAAAAGAAGUAGGUAGCUUAACCUUCGGGAGGGCGCUUACCACUUUGUGAUUCAUGACUGGGGUGAAGUCGUAACAAGGUAACCGUAGGGGAACCUGCGGUUGGAUCACCUCCUUACCUUAAAGAAGC
rnacentral:rRNA from 1 species